rnacentral:rRNA from 1 species
GACGGAGGGUGCAAACGUUGUUCGGAAUUACUGGGCGUAAAGCGUGUGUAGGCGGUUUGGCAAGUCGGAUGUGAAAGCCCCGGGCUCAACUCGGGAAGUGCACUCGAUACUGCUAGACUGGAGUGUCGGAGAGGUUGGUGGAAUUCUCGGUGUAGAGGUGAAAUUCGUAGAUAUCGAGAGGAACACCGGUGGCGAAGGCGGCCAACUGGACGAACACUGACGCUGAGACACGAAAGCGUGGGGAGCAAACAGG